GGGGGGGGGGGGGGGGGGGGGGGGGGGGGGGAGGGCGGGCGGGGAGGGCCGGCUGGGGGGGGGUGGUCGAGGGGCGGCCGGGGGAGGAGCGCGUGAGUGACCUGGCCUUGACGUUGGGCUACCUGCCGUAAACUGGGGCUAAUACCGGGUAGGCGCGCCUGCUGCAUGGGUGGGGUGGGCAAGUUUCGGCGGUUGGGGAUGGACUCGCGGCUUAUCAGCUUGUUGGUUGGGUAGUGGCUUACCAAGGCUGUGACGGGUAGCCGGCCUGAGAGGGUGACCGGCCACAUUGGGACUGAGAUACGGCCCAGACUCCUACGGGAGGCAGCAGUGGGGAAUAUUGCACAAUGGGCGGAAGCCUGAUGCAGCAACGCCGCGUGCGGGAUGACGGCCUUCGGGUUGUAAACCGCUUUCGCCUGUGACGAAGCGUGAGUGACGGUAAUGGGUAAAGAAGCACCGGCUAACUACGUG
rnacentral:rRNA from 1 species